rnacentral:rRNA from 1 species
AGUGAACGCUGGCGGUAGGCCUAACACAUGCAAGUCGAACGGCAGCACAGUAAGAGCUUGCUCUUACGGGUGGCGAGUGGCGGACGGGUGAGGAAUACAUCGGAAUCUACUUUUUCGUGGGGGAUAACGUAGGGAAACUUACGCUAAUACCGCAUACGACCUACGGGUGAAAGCAGGGGAUCUUCGGACCUUGCGCGAUUGAAUGAGCCGAUGUCGGAUUAGCUAGUUGGCGGGGUAAAGGCCCACCAAGGCGACGAUCCGUAGCUGGUCUGAGAGGAUGAUCAGCCACACUGGAACUGAGACACGGUCCAGACUCCUACGGGAGGCAGCAGUGGGGAAUAUUGGACAAUGGGCGCAAGCCUGAUCCAGCCAUACCCCGUGGGUGAAGAAGGCCUUCGGGUUGUAAAGCCCUUUUGUUGGGAAAGAAAAGCAGCAGGUUAAUACCCCGCUGUUCUGACGGUACCCAAAGAAUAAGCACCGGCUAACUUCGUG